GGCGGGCUCUGUUGCGCCUGCGCAACUGGCCGCCCGCCGAGGUCCUGGAGCGCAUGUGCACAGGGAGAAGUGAAGAACUGGGUGGAGUCUGACUGCCGCUGUCAUAGGGUGCUCCAGCUCACGGUAUGUGGAAAGAUUUGCUGCGUUUCUAAAGAAUCUCAGAAAACAAGCUGCAUUUCAGAACCUAAACCAGCAUUUGCUUUUCUUCACUCUGAGGGAGCACACAAGUAUUGAAUUCUCUGCCAUUGGGCACGCCAAGACCUGAAUUGUGGUUCCAGGAUCCUAUAUUUCGCCAUGAGAUUGGAAGGGGUUCUGAGUUGCUGGUUAUUGCUGAGACGCCUGGUGUCCUAUUAUUUGCACCGACCCUUCAUGUCCACUGCCUGAGUGUCUGAUCUUCAUCCUUGACUUACAGAAACCUUUUGUGAGGCUGUGAAUCCUGCAGCCUAGAGUCCUAUCUCCUGGCUGUAACAUGGGGUCAGUCUUCUCUGGGUUGUGUCCCUCUGGUGCUGCCAAGGAGCAAGGCCUGGGUCCCCAGGUUGUAGGUCCUACAAACUCAUCUUCAUCUACAACCCAGGGGCAUCUCUAGUCUGCCUGGAGUACUUGCCUGCAUUAUGCUCCUCUGAGGCUGGUUUAUCUUGCUCGUUUAUAGCAAUCUUAAUGGUCUUUUAAAUCCCAAUCCCCUGUCACUACAACCAAAACUUUUUUUCCUUUUCCUUAAAUUUCUAUGGGAGGUUAAGGGAGACAUCUGUUAUCCAGUUCUUUCAGCAAAAAAGAGAAGAAAAAAUUUAAAUCCUGCCAUAUGCUGAUCUCCUAACUGACAUCCUUGCCUUUUUUUUCCUCUUCUCUGUUCCAAUUAUUUUGUACAUUCCAGUCAGAAUAGUUGUUCUAAAACUCCUGCCCAGAAACUCAGUGGCUUCUCAUUGUCUCUAGAAUAAAAUCAAAGCUCCAAGCUCCUUAGUCUACCAUUAGGGCUUUUCAUGAUUUUCUUCACCUUUGAAAGCUGACUCCCCAUUACUCCUUUGUCAGAGGCCCCUGGUCUAACCCUGUUCCUCUAACGCCACGGCUCCACCUCCUGGCCCCCCAUGUUUUCCCACCUCCUCACUACACCUGACUGAUGUGCCACCCAGAUCAAGUGCUUGCUGCUUCAAACAGCUUGGUGGUUUUUAGCCCAUUUCACAGUGAUGUAGUCCACCUUAAACCUAGUUCUCUUCCAUACAUCCAUUUGGUACCCGAGGUUAUGGUUUAUCAUAUGGUGCCUGUUUCUUCCUUUCUCAUCUAGAUUUGUGAGCCUCUCAAAUACAGAGACUUCCAUUUUCUUGUAUCCUGAGCCACCACAGAGCUCUUCAUGGUAUGGGGUGCUCACUAAGUGCUAAUUAGUGAAUAUCAUGACCUGGCCAUGAGAUCCUUCCUAAGCACACCCAGACCUGCCAUAGCGUAGGAAGCAGGAAAAUAAAGGGAAAACGGGGCCAGUUUUAUUACUGCCAUGAAAAUAAUGUGUUUCAUUGGUUUGUACCAUCAAGGAGUAGCCUCCUUGCUUGCCUCCAACACACAACGAAGCAUCUGCCCUAACAUCGGCAAACACAUUCCACUAUCAGAGUAAGUAGUCCAGAGCUCUUCGGGGUGGUUGGCACUCUAGCUUUGCUGUCCUUUUGCUUCUCCACAGGCUACCCUUCACAAUAGGUUUCUCUGUCAUGAAUGCAAACUAGCCAGUCCCUCUUGAACAUAUCAACAUACCUUGACACCUGCUCAAAGUAAUUUUCCUCUCACUAAGCUAGGGUUAAUAAACACAAAUGGUCGCCAUUUACUUCUCCUUGGCUGAUCUGGGAGAGUGUCUUCACACAGAUAGGCAGGUUGGCUGGAUAGGCAACUCUCGCUCAUACUCUGGGGAAGUAGAGAGUUUCCUGCUUCAGCCUGUGGGGCUCUAUGAAUACUUCACUUGCUGCUCACACCAGCUUCCUGCGGAAUCCCCCAGCCCCCAUGCUAAGUCCUUCUGGCCUUCAUUCAUGUUGAUCUAGUGACAGGGAACAGGCAGAGAGGAAUCCAGCAUCAUCCUGGUAGUCUGACUGGAUAACACUAAAAGCUUUCCAAUACUUCAAAUCUUUGAUCCUAUAAUUUUUACUUGCAUUGCUUUUAAUCAACACUUAGAAUCCCCUAGCUUUCUGCUAAUCCCUUCAGCCUCCUCACCUUGGCCUCUUUCCCACUUGAUAGAUUCAUUCUAGCCACUCAGGCCUUGUCUCAGCUCCUUCAGUAUGUUGCUUCUGCUUUCGCAUAUGUUCUCUCUGCUCUCUAGGUCUCUAUUCUCCCCACCAGCCAUUUGUCUAAUCCUACUUAGCU